UCCUGGUUAACCCAGGCAGUCUCACUAGAGUUCCCACCUUUACGUGUUGGCAACUAAUGACAAGGGUUGCGCUCGUUGCGGGACUUAACCCAACACCUCACGGCACGAGCUGACGACAGCCAUGCAGCACCUGUGCAAAGGCCCCGAAGGGAGAUGCCAUUUCUGGCACUGUCCUUUGCAUGUCAAGCCUAGGUAAGGUUCUUCGCGUUGCAUCGAAUUAAACCACAUGCUCCACUGCUUGUGCGGGUCCCCGUCAAUUCUUUUGAGUUUCACCCUUGCGAGUGUACUCCUCAGGCGGUAUACUUAACGCGUUCGCUACGGCACAGCCGGGGUUGAGUCCAGCUACACCUAGUAUACAUAGUUUAGGGCAAGGACUAC
rnacentral:misc_RNA from 1 species